UAAUACGUAUGGGGCAAGCGUUGUUCGGAGUUAUUGGGCGUAAAGGGCGUGUAGGCGGCUCAUCAAGUCUGGUGUGAAAAUGCAGGGCUUAACCCUGCAGAUGCGCUGGAAACUGGUGGGCUUGAGUUCCUGAGGGGAAGCUGGAAUUCCAGGUGUAGGAGUGAAAUCUGUAGAUAUCUGGAAGAACACCGGUGGCGAAGGCGAGCUUCUAUCAGAGGACUGACGCUGAGGCGCGAAAGCGUGGGGAGCAAACAGGAUUAGAUACCCUGGUAGUCCACGCUGUAAACGAUGUGCACUAGGCGUGGGGCACGUCCGUGCUCUGUGCCGUAGUUAACGCGAUAAGUGCACCGCCUGGGGAGUAUGCUCGCAAGGGUGAAACUUAAAUGAAUUGACGG
rnacentral:rRNA from 1 species